rnacentral:rRNA from 1 species
GGUCUUGCUGUCACUUAUAGAUGGAUCCGCGCUGCAUUAGCUAGUUGGUAAGGUAACGGCUUACCAAGGCAACGAUGCAUAGCCGACCUGAGAGGGUGAUCGGCCACACUGGAACUGAGACACGGUCCAGACUCCUACGGGAGGCAGCAGUAGGGAAUCUUCCGCAAUGGGCGAAAGCCUGACGGAGCAACGCCGCGUGAGUGAUGAAGGUCUUCGGAUCGUAAAACUCUGUUAUUAGGGAAGAACAUAUGUGUAAGUAACUGUGCACAUCUUGACGGUACCUAAUCAGAAAGCCACGGCUAACUACGUGCCAGCAGCCGCGGUAAUACGUAGGUGGCAAGCGUUAUCCGGAAUUAUUGGGCGUAAAGCGCGCGUAGGCGGUUUUUUAAGUCUGAUGUGAAAGCCCACGGCUCAACCGUGGAGGGUCAUUGGAAACUGGAAAACUUGAGUGCAGAAGAGGAAAGUGGAAUUCCAUGUGUAGCGGUGAAAUGCGCAGAGAUAUGGAGGAACACCAGUGGCGAAGGCGACUUUCUGGUCUGUAACUGACGCUGAUGUGCGAAAGCGUGGGGAUCAAACAGGAUUAGAUACCCUGGUAGUCCACGCCGUAAACGAUGAG